GACGAACGCUGGCGGCGUGCUUAACACAUGCAAGUCGUACGGUAAGGCCCUUUCGGGGGUCCACGAGUGGCGAACGGGUGAGUAACACGUGAGUAACCUGCCCACAACUUUGGGAUAACGCUAGGAAACUGGUGCUAAUACUGGAUAUGUGCUCCUGCUGCAUGGUGGGGGUUGGAAAGCUCCGGCGGUUGUGGAUGGACUCGCGGCCUAUCAGCUUGUUGGUGGGGUAGUGGCCUACCAAGGCGGCGACGGGUAGCCGGCCUGAGAGGGUGACCGGCCACAUUGGGACUGAGAUACGGCCCAGACUCCGACGGGAGGCAGCAGUGGGGAAUAUUGCACAAUGGGCGCAAGCCUGAUGCAGCAGCGCCGCGUGCGGGAUGACGGCCUUCGGGUUGUAAACCGCUUUCAGCAGGGACGAAGCUUUUUGUGACGGUACCUGCAGAAGAAGCACCGGCUAACUACGUG
rnacentral:rRNA from 1 species